GUUGGUGACCAGCGGAG
rnacentral:rRNA from 1 species